AGCCAUUUGUGGAGAGCUUAUCUACAUGCCCUAAGCAUGGACUUCACAACCCACUUAAAGCUCCAGAGAGGUACCUCAUGUAUGGAGAUAUAUCUGCAAAAGCUGCACAUAUGCUGGGCCAACCUGCGGUUUCAGAUUUCUUUGCAAAACUUAUCCAGAGGGUAUCUCCAAAGAGCUACCAACAAGCUCUUGCAGAAGUUCAAGUUUCUCAAAAG